GCGAGAGGGAAGUCCGCCGCCGCGCACUCCCCUUUUCCCCGGCUGCAGCAGGAGGCCUCGCGCCGCCGAACAGGAUGUCUGUUGCCCAGCCGAGCGGCGCCCUGGCCCGACAAACGCCACUUGACCCCCCCCCGCGUCCACUAGGCCAGCAACGGGGGGGGGGAAGGCUCGCGCAGGCGGGCUCUCACCUUCGGCUGUCACACACACCCGCCUGGGCCUCAGCCACGCGUCGCUGGAGCGGGGAAAGGGAAAACGAGUCCGCAAACCCUCCGUCUUGUUUUUCUUCGCCGCUACCACUGCCGCUACCACCGCCACAGCAGCUGCAGCAGCCGUCCUACUUCCUUCGCCUCAGCCCCAGCUAGGAGCCUGAGCCCAGCAAGGCUGGCUUCCCUCCCAGCUCGCCUCUCGCCCCGCCUCCUCUCCCUCACCCCUGCCAACCCGCUCCGGGCCUUGGGGACCAAAGCGCCGCCUACCCGUCCGGCUAGGCUGUUACGCCGGCUUGCUGCUGCUGCUGCUCCUGCCGCAGCUGUUGUCUUCUCCUCAGGCUCGGCGGUUCCCGCUUGCCUCCCUGCCUGCCGAAAAUGUCCCACUUGCUGCAGCUGCAGGGCGCCCGUCGCGGUCCAUUCCCCUCAGGUCAGGUGCUGAUGCUGAGAAAAAAUAGCCGGCCAUUGACCCUGAGAAGAGCUGGCAGGAGCGAGGCUGGGGGAGAAAGCUGCCUGAAAUGUACACACCUGCCCCCCUACCUUCAUCUCUAAAUCGGGUGCAGCCCUCCAGAUGCUUUUGGACUCCAACUCCCAGGAGCUUCAGCCAACAUGGACAAUGGCCAGGGACAAGAACAUAAAAAGAGCCCUGCUGAAUCAGUCCAGGGAUGCCUAGAGGCUACAUUCCCGUUCUCACAAUGGCCUAUGGGAAGCCCACAAGCAGGACACAGGUCACAGCAACCCUCUUCCCACAUAUAAUUCCCAGCAACUGGCUAGCAGAGGCAUUUCUGCCCCCGACACUGGAGGUAGUACAUAGCCUUGUCCACCCACAGCCUCACCCCUCAUCUUCCUCCUGAUGCUGCUGGCCAAGCAUACCAUAGUGAAGUUCUCUUUUUGGUAAAAAUCGACAAGAAGAAGAAGAAAAAGAAAAAGAAGAAUGUCCACUAUGUCUACUCAACAUAGACAGGUUUCAGAAAUCCAACAUCUCCAGACUCCACAAUUCCUGAGCAUUUUCUAGGCUGAUAAUUGGGUAUCUGAAUUUUUGCAAGCACUUAGUAAA